rnacentral:rRNA from 1 species
UUUUGUAGAAUGAACCGGCGAGUUACGAUUUGAUGCAAGGUUAAGCAGUAAAUGUGGAGCCGUAGCGAAAGCGAGUCUGAAUAGGGCGUUUAGUAUUUGGUCGUAGACCCGAAACCAGGUGAUCUACCCUUGGUCAGGUUGAAGUUCAGGUAACACUGAAUGGAGGACCGAACCGACUUACGUUGAAAAGUGAGCGGAUGAACUGAGGGUAGCGGAGAAAUUCCAAUCGAACCUGGAGAUAGCUGGUUCUCUCCGAAAUAGCUUUAGGGCUAGCCUCAAGUGAUGAUUAUUGGAGGUAGAGCACUGUUUGGACGAGGGGCCCCUCUCGGGUUACCGAAUUCAGACAAACUCCGAAUGCCAAUUAAUUUAACUUGGGAGUCAGAACAUGGGUGAUAAGGUCCGUGUUCGAAAGGGAAACAGCCCAGACCACCAGCUAAGGUCCCAAAAUAUAUGUUAAGUGGAAAAGGAUGUGGCGUUGCCCAGACAACUAGGAUGUUGGCUUAGAAGCAGCCAUCAUUUAAAGAGUGCGUAAUAGCUCACUAGUCGAGUGACACUGCGCCGAAAAUGUACCGGGGCUAAACAUAUUACCGAAGCUGUGGAUUGUCCUUUGGACAAUGGUAGGAGAGCGUUCUAAGGGCGUUGAAGCAUGAUCGUAAGGACAUGUGGAGCGCUUAGAAGUGAGAAUGCCGGUGUGAGUAGCGAAAGACGGGUGAGAAUCCCGUCCACCGAUUGACUAAGGUUUCCAGAGGAAGGCUCGUCCGCUCUGGGUUAGUCGGGUCCUAAGCUGAGGCCGACAGGCGUAGGCGAUGGAUAACAGGUUGAUAUUCCUGUACCACCUAUAAUCGUUUUAAUCGAUGGGGGGACGCAGUAGGAUAGGCGAAGCGUGCGAUUGGAUUGCACGUCUAAGCAGUAAGGCUGAGUAUUAGGCAAAUCCGGUACUCGUUAAGGCUGAGCUGUGAUGGGGAGAAGACAUUGUGUCUUCGAGUCGUUGAUUUCACACUGCCGAGAAAAGCCUCUAGAUAGAAAAUAGGUGCCCGUACCGCAAACCGACACAGGUAGUCAAGAUGAGAAUUCUAAGGUGAGCGAGCGAACUCUCGUUAAGGAACUCGGCAAAAUGACCCCGUAACUUCGGGAGAAGGGGUGCUCUUUAGGGUUAACGCCCAGAAGAGCCGCAGUGAAUAGGCCCAAGCGACUGUUUAUCAAAAACACAGGUCUCUGCUAAACCGUAAGGUGAUGUAUAGGGGCUGACGCCUGCCCGGUGCUGGAAGGUUAAGAGGAGUGGUUAGCUUCUGCGAAGCUACGAAUCGAAGCCCCAGUAAACGGCGGCCGUAACUAUAACGGUCCUAAGGUAGCGAAAUUCCUUGUCGGGUAAGUUCCGACCCGCACGAAAGGCGUAACGAUUUGGGCACUGUCUCAACGAGAGACUCGGUGAAAUCAUAGUACCUGUGAAGAUGCAGGUUACCCGCGACAGGACGGAAAGACCCCGUGGAGCUUUACUGUAGCCUGAUAUUGAAAUUCGGCACAGCUUGUACAGGAUAGGUAGGAGCCUUUGAAACGUGAGCGCUAGCUUACGUGGAGGCGCUGGUGGGAUACUACCCUAGCUGUGUUGGCUUUCUAACCCGCACCACUUAUCGUGGUGGGAGACAGUGUCAGGCGGGCAGUUUGACUGGGGCGGUCGCCUCCUAAAAGGUAACGGAGGCGCUCAAAGGUUCCCUCAGAAUGGUUGGAAAUCAUUCAUAGAGUGUAAAGGCAUAAGGGAGCUUGACUGCGAGACCUACAAGUCGAGCAGGGUCGAAAGACGGACUUAGUGAUCCGGUGGUUCCGCAUGGAAGGGCCAUCGCUCAACGGAUAAAAGCUACCCCGGGGAUAACAGGCUUAUCUCCCCCAAGAGUUCACAUCGACGGGGAGGUUUGGCACCUCGAUGUCGGCUCAUCGCAUCCUGGGGCUGUAGUCGGUCCCAAGGGUUGGGCUGUUCGCCCAUUAAAGCGGUACGCGAGCUGGGUUCAGAACGUCGUGAGACAGUUCGGUCCCUAUCCGUCGUGGGCGUAGGAAAUUUGAGAGGAGCUGUCCUUAGUACGAGAGGACCGGGAUGGACAUACCUCUGGUGUACCAGUUGUCGUGCCAACGGCAUAGCUGGGUAGCUAUGUGUGGACGGGAUAAGUGCUGAAAGCAUCUAAGCAUGAAGCCCCCCUCAAGAUGAGAUUUCCCAACUUCGGUUAUAAGAUCCCUCAAAGAUGAU